rnacentral:rRNA from 1 species
AUUGAACGCUGUCGGCAUGCCUUACACAUGCAAGUCGAACGGUAACGGGUCCUUCGGGAUGCCGACGAGUGGCGAACGGGUGAGUAAUAUAUCGGAACGUGCCCAGUAGUGGGGGAUAACUGCUCGAAAGAGCAGCUAAUACCGCAUACGACCUGAGGGUGAAAGGGGGGGAUCGCAAGACCUCUCGCUAUUGGAGCGGCCGAUAUCAGAUUAGCUAGUUGGUGGGGUAAAGGCCUACCAAGGCAACGAUCUGUAGUUGGUCUGAGAGGACGACCAGCCACACUGGGACUGAGACACGGCCCAGACUCCUACGGGAGGCAGCAGUGGGGAAUUUUGGACAAUGGGCGCAAGCCUGAUCCAGCAAUGCCGCGUGCAGGAAGAAGGCCUUCGGGUUGUAAACUGCUUUUGUCAGGGAAGAAAUCUUCUGGGCUAAUACCCCGGGGGGAUGACGGUACCUGAAGAAUAAGCACCGGCUAACUACGUGCCAGCAGCCGCGGUAAUACGUAGGGUGCGAGCGUUAAUCGGAAUUACUGGGCGUAAAGCGUGCGCAGGCGGCUUUGCAAGACAGAUGUGAAAUCCCCGGGCUCAACCUGGGAACUGCAUUUGUGACUGCAAGGCUAGAGUACGGCAGAGGGGGAUGGAAUUCCGCGUGUAGCAGUGAAAUGCGUAGAUAUGCGGAGGAACACCAAUGGCGAAGGCAAUCCCCUGGGCCUGUACUGACGCUCAUGCACGAAAGCGUGGGGAGCAAACAGGAUUAGAUACCCUGGUAGUCCACGCCCUAAACGAUGUCAACUGGUUGUUGGACGGCUUGCUGUUCAGUAACGAAGCUAACGCGUGAAGUUGACCGCCUGGGGAGUACGGCCGCAAGGUUGAAACACAAAGGAAUUGACGGGGACCCGCACAAGCGGUGGAUGAUGUGGUUUAAUUCGAUGCAACGCGAAAAACCUUACCUACCCUUGACAUGUCAAGAAUUCUGCAGAGAUGUGGAAGUGCUCGAAAGAGAACUUGAACACAGGUGCUGCAUGGCCGUCGUCAGCUCGUGUCGUGAGAUGUUGGGUUAAGUCCCGCAACGAGCGCAACCCUUGUCAUUAGUUGCUACGCAAGAGCACUCUAAUGAGACUGCCGGUGACAAACCGGAGGAAGGUGGGGAUGACGUCAGGUCCUCAUGGCCCUUAUGGGUGGGGCUACACACGUCAUACAAUGGCCGGUACAGAGGGCUGCCAACCCGCGAGGGGGAGCCAAUCCCAGAAAGCCGGUCGUAGUCCGGAUCGUAGUCUGCAACUCGACUGCGUGAAGUCGGAAUCGCUAGUAAUCGCGGAUCAGCUUGCCGCGGUGAAUACGUUCCCGGGUCU